AAAGAAGUCAAAACUCGGUGAGCCUGGGCAAAAUUGGCCUUUCUUAGUCUUUGCUCUGUUCUCGUUACACGAUAACAAGCAAAGAAGGGCAGCUGUAAGGCCCAAUUUUAUGCCCAGGCCCGAAUAUUAAAACAAGAUAAACAACAGUCCAAUUACAAAGGAAAAUAACAAGCCCAAUGUAGCCCAUGGCCCAAAACAAAAAUUAAAAACCCAGCCCAGACAACAUUAACAUUUUCGGUAGAAAGAUGCCCCCCAAACCCUAGCGCCGCAUGCCUCGCGUGGCCUCCUCGUCUGCCACGCCCAGCUCUCCAUGCCACCAUGUCGGCCACCUGCUCCUCUAUACCACCAUACCUCUGUCACCUUCACCCAUUCCCUGCAGGACCAGAAAGAAGACAAGACAAUAAAAUACAAUUUUGAAAAGGCUAUAAAAGCCUAUUUGGCUUUCUGUAACGGGGGGGUUUCUUUUUUUGUUGUUGUUUUUUUCGGCAUUUUAAUACAAAAAACAGAAGCUAGAAUAAAAAAAUACAUAGAUUUCAGUACUGAGAUAGCAAACAUUCGGAGAAAAAGGAAAGGCAAACGGAAAAGGUUAUUUUUUCAUCCAUUUUCUUUCGAUUUCCAUAUACAUAUCUAUACAUUUUUUAAAUUAAUAUAAACCUAAAAUCUAUAUAUUCUAAGACCAAAAAUAAAUAAAAAAUAUAGCAAAAAAAGAGAGAGAAAUUUUACCUUUUCCGGCCACCGCGUGCGGUGGCCGGCGCCGGCGCCGACGAGUCUCCGGUGACCGUCCGGCGACUGGACCCCUGGCCGGAGUCCCAUCGGAAAUCGC
rnacentral:lncRNA from 1 species